rnacentral:rRNA from 1 species
GAUGAUCGCUGGCGGCGUGCCUAAUACAUGCAAUUCGAGCGAACAGACGAGGAGCUUGCUCCUCUGACGUUAGCGGCGGACGGGGGAGUAACACGUGGAUAACCUACCUAUAAGACUGUGAUAACUGCGGGAAACCGGAGCUAAUACCGGAUAAUAUAUUGAACCGCAUGGUUCAAUAGUGAAAUACGGUUUUGCUGUCACUUAUAGAUGGAUCCUCGCCGCAUUAGCUAGUUGGUAAGGUAACGGCUUACCAAGGCAACGAUGCGUAGCCGACCUGAGAGGGUGAUCGGCCACACUGGAACUGCGACACGGUCCAGACUCCUACGGGAGGCAGCAGUAGGGACUCUUCCGCAAUGGGAGAAAGCCUGACGGAGCAACGCCGCGUGAGUGAUGAAGGUCUUCGGAUCGUAAAACUCUGUUAUUAGGGAAGAACAAAUGUGUAAGUAACUAUGCACGUCUUGACGGUAACUAAUCAGAAAGCAACGGCUAACUACGUG